CUUCAGAGGGAGCUCAUCGUGACAUGUGGAGUUGCUGCUGUGCUGAUAAGAUAAAGAUCACUGUUGCUUGUGCAGUUAAACCUCUUCCCCACAGAACAUAGAUAUAAACAUAUUGGUCAGUACAUAGAGGGGAGUGGAAACAGAGUGGCAUGCUUUAUGGGCCUCAGAUUGUCAGGAUGAUUUCAGGUGAAAGUUAAAGCUGGGAAAGUAAUUGAGUUGUGGAGAGAAGCUGAUUCUUAUAUUUAAUCCCAUUUUAUUUUGUAUAAUUUUCUUUUAAUUUAAUUUUUCAAAAUUAAUGAUGUGUCAAUAGGCUUGUGAACAAAAACAAAUUAUAUACCAAAUUUUGUCUGCUCAAAUACAAAUACAGUCUGCCUCAAACAUCCACUACAAAGUGGAAGCUGCCUAUCCCAGCAUCUUCGGGCGAAGGCAGGGGACACCCUGGACAAGUCGCCAGUUCAUCGCAGGACUGACAUAUAGAGACGAACAACCAUCCACGCUCACAUUCAUACCUACGGGCAGUUUCAAAGUGGCCAAUUAACCCAACAUCACUUCUGCAUGUUUUUGGGGUGUGGGAGGAAACCGGAGUACCUGCAGUAAACCCACGCAGGCACAGGGAGAACAUGCAAACUCCACACAGAAACGCCCUGAGCCGGAUUCAAACACAGGACCUUCUUGCUGUGAGGUGACAGUGCUAACCACUGCACCACUGUGCCGCCCACUGACACAACAUACAUCAUGUAAAUAUUUUUGCAUGUAUGCCCGAUAAUGCAUCUGUUUUAUCUUGACUCUGUUCUGCCAGCUGCCCUGUUAGUGUAUUUGGUCCCCCCUAAGUGUGCCACAGGUUUCAAUAUAAGAGUCAGUAAUCUUGAAAUGCUUUAGGUAAAGUGAUGCUUUAGUAUUAUUUUCAUUAUAUCCAAUGUAGAUGUUGACUUUUGUUUUAUUUGAUGUGUCCACUUAACAUUUUUAAAGUUUACUGAGAAGCUAAACUAACCUGUGCUCGAUAUCCUGGCUCCACUUUGAAAGCAAAACUGCGGUCUUGCUGAGGCAAAAGAGAGCUUCACUCUCAAGUAAACACCACAGUGUAACUUAAUUUUCUAAGACUGCGCUGUUUUACCCAAAAUCUUACGACACAGGAGCUUUCCCCAAACAUGUCAGCUAUAUCCUUUUCUGUCUGGUGACUUCUGUGGAAGUGUGUCCUCUUUACCAGGAAUGGAGAAUUCUGUACUCUUGAAUGUAUUUGGCACAUUUUGAAAGUCACACACGUUGGUGCACAAUAACCCAAAUUUGACAAGCAAAAUAACAAACUAAUGCCUCAGGAUAUUUUAGAGCUGUGAAUAAGCUAUGCAGCCCAAUGUAGCGUGACAGCAUUCGUAAGUACAAGGAAGAUGGAAAUUAUUACAAUUGUUUUUAUAUAAUGACACUAGUGUCUAUUUGCGGUUGGUUAAAAACAACAGGAAGUAUAUGUGGUGGAAACGUUGAGCCACAGACACAAAGAGAAGCUGUUAAGACCAGGACCUGUGUAGCUGAAAGUAAUGAACUUAUUCUUUGUAUAAAUAAAUCAUUUGCAAAGUUUGACCAUUCAAUGCCAUUGACAAUGAAAAGGUAAUGACCUAGUUUCCAGUGUCACUCGACAACCAUCUUGUACAUGCAGCUUCUCUGGUCUCUGGUGGGAGUAAAUAUUUACUGAGGCCAAAAAUAACAAAGAGAUUUAUGGCCACAGGUGAUGAAAAGAAAAGUGUAAGUUCAAAAACUGGACAAAUAUGUUUCUCAGGUGACAGCAAACACUGAAAAGGGGAGCACAACCAUCAACUAAGAAUAACCAGUUUUGCUACCUGUAUUCGCAGCUCAUCACCUCAGAUGUCGCCAGUGAGAUCGAUGGAGGGAGACGGUAACUUUGAAAUGUCAAUUAACGCCCAAACCCACUUAAAACAAAACCUAUUGAUUUCUUCAUGGACACAGGCUACUAAUUUUUACCUGGACAUGUUAGCCCUCUGACAGCCAAAACAGCAAACAGCAUUGAGAUCAGAAGUUGUUGAGGGCAUUCGUCUCCAAAUUUUGUCACAUGCUCUCAUUUUCACAUCUCAAUGUGUCAUUCACGGCCAAGAUCAUUAAACAGUAUAGGUUUUUGUUUGUUUUCCAUUUCAGGGUGGACAACGAUAAACAUUUUCCAAAGGUUAACUUUGCCUUGGGUGUUCAAUUCUUCACGUCUGUAUGAGUCGGAUUCUGAGAAGCGAGAGAGAAACAGGUUUGGUUAAGACUUUGUUAACUUUCCUAGAUCAAAUAAAGAGCAGAGCAAAGUUCAAAGAGUCAGAUGAUUUUGGUCCUGAGCAUGUGACUUGUAUCCCCCAAAAAAUAAUAGCAGCAUGUUGUGUGAGGAGGUCAUGAAAACUUUGAUUAGAGCCAGUCACAGCUUCGUUUUAUAGCUGGCAAUGUGGCAAUCAGAGCAGAUGUUUAAUCUGCUAACAAAGGUCAUUUUAAAUAUUCAUUUCUUUUAUUUACCUACAUGACUGCAUCUGUACGUCUGUCUCUGCGAUUAUUUACUUACCUUCCCUGAAUGGGGAGGGGGCUUGGUGUUUAAAUGGAGCUGUCCUGUUUUUUGAAGAAGACUUAAAGGUUGGAGUAUAAAAGGCAGCAUUUGAAGGAGUUUACGCUCAUUCUCCUGGAACACGGCUAAAUAAGGGUUUUUGUUGUCUCUGUCCGUGAUGCAACUUUAUGGAGCUCUGGUCCUGUUAGUCACUCUGUCUACAGGUAGGAUUGAUUCAUUCAUGCUUAACGUAUUUUGGGUGAACAUUACAACAUAAAAAUUAAAGUUGGUAUCGUACAGAAAUUUAAAGGACUGUGAUUUUGUUUCUCUUUCUUUUCUUUUAUUGUUUUACGUGAAUUAAUUUCUCUGACUGAAAGCUCUUUCUUGUUGUGUGGUGACCGGUAAAAUAUCCUAAAACUUAACACCUUAAAAAGGAUUCUUGCGCAUAUAACAGUGCUCUGAAUUAUUGUAUAGCAUGGGGGCUGAAGUGCUUCACCUGUGGACCCACCACUCCAGUAUGCUCAGUGGCUUUGGAUUGUCCUCCAGGAACUGACCGUUGUUUCUCCAACAAUGUGUUUGGUAUGAUUUUCUUCCACUUCAGGAAUCAUUUGGUCUUACAUGAAGCAGUGGAGAUCAUAUUGUAAAUACUGCACUAAAGGACUUUUUUUUUUUAAUUAUUAUUACUAUUUCAUGCCUUGCAGGUGUGGUCACCAAAGGCUGCAUAUUCAAGGAUGGUUGUAUCACCCCUUUAACAUGCUGUGAGGGAGACAUGUGCAACAGUGCCACACCCUCCGGUCCUGACCUCUUGCCGCCUGGUCUCGGCUCCCUUUUCCCCUUCGGUUCUGGUGUCAGCAUCGUCCCGUCUUGCUCCCUUAUCCUCCUCCUGCUGGCAUCCACAGCCAUUGUCAUCAUUUUCCUCUGAAGCUCUGAACAUUCAACAACAUAAAAAAUGUUUUAUCUUGAUGCUUUCCUGUUUUCUGGUCCUGAUUGUAGAGUGCAAAAAGGAAAAAUAAAAUCUCCAAAGCUGCAAGUAACCACCAGAGAUGGCCACUUUCAUUCUGAAGGAAAAACAGCAUAAGAAGCUAUUUUUACAAUCAAGUGGCAAUGAGGAAGUUCAAGGAGCCAAAUCACAGAUUUCAGACUUCAUUAUUUCUUGACUUGAAAGUGCAGCACUUGCUCUCUCUGGUUAAGAAUCCUUCAAGGGCCAGUGUGAAGAAAUGGGAGUGUUUAGUGAUAUUUUACAGUCAGAUUCUAGGUUAAAACAGUGGUCUAAAAUAUUGACAAUUCGUCAUUCUUAUUUUACAACUUAUAUUAAAUGUCACAAUUCCCUUUAAACACACAGUAGAUGUCUUCCUGGAAGAGGCCUGUUCAUCAUCUUUUACCUAACAGAAAGUACAAUGAAAAUGUAAUGUAGAGAUGUCGGGAAUUAUGUUUAAUAGGUCUGGAAAUUUUCUGAUGAUGGUAACCAUUGCUCUUCAGUAAUGACCUAUUAAACAUAAUUCCCGAAAAGUAAAGUACAAAAUCCGGACAGUAUUAUGAAGAACGGGAGUUUGUAAAACAGCACAAAGCAUAAAAUUUUACAUUACCUUUCAAAAAAACGAGUCGCGAGCUUGUUCAUUUCGUGAAAAAUUAAUGGCCGUCCA
rnacentral:lncRNA from 1 species